rnacentral:rRNA from 1 species
UGCAAGGUCGACGAACUUCCGUUAAUUGAUUAUGACGUACUUGUACUGAUUGAGAUUUUAACACGAAGUGAGUGGCGAACGGGUGAGUAACACGUGGGUAACCUGCCCAGAAGUAGGGGAUAACACCUGGAAACAGAUGCUAAUACCGUAUAACAGAGAAAACCGCAUGGUUUUCUUUUAAAAGAUGGCUCUGCUAUCACUUCUGGAUGGACCCGCGGCGUAUUAGCUAGUUGGUGAGGUAAAGGCUCACCAAGGCAGUGAUACGUAGCCGACCUGAGAGGGUAAUCGGCCACAUUGGGACUGAGACACGGCCCAGACUCCUACGGGAGGCAGCAGUAGGGAAUCUUCCACAAUGGACGCAAGUCUGAUGGAGCAACGCCGCGUGAGUGAAGAAGGGUUUCGGCUCGUAAAGCUCUGUUGUUAAAGAAGAACGUGGGUAAGAGUAACUGUUUACCCAGUGACGGUAUUUAACCAGAAAGCCACGGCUAACUACGUGCCAGCAGCCGCGGUAAUACGUAGGUGGCAAGCGUUAUCCGGAUUUAUUGGGCGUAAAGCGAGCGCAGGCGGUCUUUUAAGUCUAAUGUGAAAGCCUUCGGCUCAACCGAAGAAGUGCAUUGGAAACUGGGAGACUUGAGUGCAGAAGAGGACAGUGGAACUCCAUGUGUAGCGGUGAAAUGCGUAGAUAUAUGGAAGAACACCAGUGGCGAAGGCGGCUGUCUGGUCUGCAACUGACGCUGAGGCUCGAAAGCAUGGGUAGCGAACAGGAUUAGAUACCCUGGUAGUCC